UUUUAUUGGAGAGUUUGAUCCUGGCUCAGGGUGAACGCUGGCGGCGUGCCUAAGACAUGCAAGUCGAGCGGGGUAGGUUUAUACCUGCCC
rnacentral:rRNA from 1 species